rnacentral:rRNA from 1 species
GACGAACCGUGCGACCGUUGUUCGGAAUCACUGGGCUUAAAGGGCGCGUAGGCGGUCUGCCAAGUCCGGGGUGAAAGCCCCCAGCUCAACUGGGGAAGUGCCUUGGAUACUGGCGGACUUGAGGGAGGCAGGGGUUGUGGGAACUUCCGGUGGAGCGGUGAAAUGCGUUGAUAUCGGAAGGAACGCCGGUGGCGAAAGCGCACAACUGGUCCUCUUCUGACGCUGAGGCGCGAAAGCCAGGGGAGCAAACGGG